UACGGAGGAUGCGAGCGUUAUCCGGAUUUAUUGGGUUUAAAGGGUGCGUAGGUGGACGCUUAAGUCAGCGGUAAAAUUGCGGGGCUCAACCUCGUCGAGCCGUUGAAACUGGGUGCCUUGAGUGGGCGAGAAGUACGCGGAAUGCGUGGUGUAGCGGUGAAAUGCAUAGAUAUCACGCAGAACUCCGAUUGCGAAGGCAGCGUACCGGCGCCCUACUGACGCUGAAGCACGAAGGCGUGGGUAUCGAACAGG
rnacentral:rRNA from 1 species